UCACCCAAACUCAAACCCGAAACAAGACUCUUCACUUCUCCGGUCGUCCACUCCGCCGCCGCCGCCGCCGCCGCCGCCGCCGUCGACUACGCCGUCUCGUCGAUUCCGCUGCCGCUCUCUUCUUGCUCCUCGCAUUCUAGGGUUCCUCUCGAUCUGAUCUAGUCGGUGAAGGACCGGAGCUGGAGCUGCUGCCUCUCUCGGUCCGCUGUUGCCGCCGCUCUCCAGCACCGGCAUCGCCCUCAACCACGUCCCCGCCGGUAAUUGAAGGACUUGGGGGUGUUGUAGCUUCAGAUGGAAGCACAAGCACACACAUUGUAACUGGGAAAGUCAGGAGGACUCUGAAUUUCUGCAAUGCCCUCUGCUCAGGGUAUUGAAAUUAUAUUCUUCUAUUAUUAGGUUCAACAUGUUAUAGCAUGUCAUGUAAUGUUGCAUCUGCAGCUGGUUUAAGUAUUUGCUUCGAGUUUCUGUUUUGGCAUCUUAAAUACAGCUGGCAUGAUUUUUGUUGACAAGUAGAUUGAACAAAGAGUUGUUCCUUUUCAGCUUUCGUAAAAUUAUUGUGGUUAUUA